rnacentral:rRNA from 1 species
UUGUGAUCGUCUCUCGCAUAUCAAUAAGCGGAGGAAAAGAAACUAACAAGGAUUCCCCUAGUAACGGCGAGUGAAGCGGGAAGAGCUCAAAUUUGAAAUCUUAAAGGGUUUCCCUUUACGAAUUGUAGUUUAAAGAAGUGUUUUCUGUUGAGGUUUUGGUAAAAGUUCUUUGGAAUAGGACAUCAUAGAGGGUGAGAAUCCCGUAUUUGACCUUUACUUUCAACUUUGUGAUACACUUUCAAAGAGUCGGAUUGUUUGGGAAUGCAGUCCAAAAUGGGUGGUAAAUUUCAUCUAAAGCUAAAUAUUGGCGAGAGACCGAUAGCGAACAAGUACCGUGAGGGAAAGAUGAAAAGAACUUUGAAAAGAGAGUUAAACAGUACGUGAAAUUGUCAAAAAGGGAAGCGUUUGACACCAGUGUUGUUUUUCUGAAAAUCAAUUAAAGAACUGUUUAUGCUAAGCUGUUUAGACUUUAUCAGCUAACUGUUUAGUUUUGAGCUUUUCUUUAAUGCACUUUUCAGUUAACAAGUCAACAUCAAUUUCUUUUGCUGUAAAAAAGCUUGAGGAAGGUGGCUUGAGAUUCGUCUUAAGUGUUUAUAGCCUCUUGCCAAUGCAGUCGGAGAGAUUGAGGUCUGCAGCGUAGAUCCUUCGGGGCUAAAUGCAUUUGUGCUAAGUUAUAGCAUUUUAUAGACAACUUGUUGACUAUGAUUUGUCUUGUAGCUUACUCGCUUAUGUUAUUUUACCUACGCUUAGGAUGUUGAAGAUAUGCGCGACACG